GAUGAACGCUGGCGGCGUGCCUAAUACAUGCAAGUCGAGCGAACGGACGAGAAGCUUGCUUCUCUGAUGUUAGCGGCGGACGGGUGAGUAACACGUGGAUAACCUACCUAUAAGACUGGGAUAACUUCGGGAAACCGGAGCUAAUACCGGAUAAUAUUUUGAACCGCAUGGUUCAAAAGUGAAAGACGGUCUUGCUGUCACUUAUAGAUGGAUCCGCGCUGCAUUAGCUAGUUGGUAAGGUAACGGCUUACCAAGGCAACGAUGCAUAGCCGACCUGAGAGGGUGAUCGGCCACACUGGAACUGAGACACGGUCCAGACUCCUACGGGAGGCAGCAGUAGGGAAUCUUCCGCAAUGGGCGAAAGCCUGACGGAGCAACGCCGCGUGAGUGAUGAAGGUCUUCGGAUCGUAAAACUCUGUUAUUAGGGACGAACAUAUGUGUAAGUAACUGUGCACAUCUUGACGGUACCUAAUCAGAAAGCCACGGCUAACUACGUG
rnacentral:rRNA from 1 species